rnacentral:lncRNA from 1 species
AUAUAUAUAUAUACACAAUGGAAUACUACUCAGCCAUAAAAAAAGAACAAAGUAAUGCUAUUUGCAGCAACAUGGAUGGGACUAGAGACUCUCAUACAAUGGAAUACUACUCGGCCAUAAAAAAGAACAAAGUAAUGCCAUUUGCAGCAACAUGGAUGGGACUAGAGACUCUCAUACUAAGUGAAAUAAGUCAGAAAGACAAAGAUAGAUUCCAUAUGAUUUCACUUAUAUCUGGAAUCUAAUAUACAGCACAAAUGAACCUAUCUAUAGGAAAGAAACAAACUCAUGGACAUGGAGAACAGACUUGUGGUUGCUGAGGGGGAGAGGGAGGGGUGGGAUGGACUGGAAUUUUGUGUUAGUAGAAGCAAACUAUAGCAUUUGGAAUGGAUAAGUGAUAAGAUCCUGCCAUAUAGCACAGGGAACUAUAUCUAGUCACUUGUGAUGGAACAUGAUGGAGGAUCAUGUGAGAAAAAGAAUGUGUAUACACAUAUGUGUGUGUAUAACUAGGUCACUUUACUGUACAGUAGAAAUUGACAGAACAUUAUAAAUCAACUAUACUAAGAAGUAAAUUAAUUUUAAUUUUUAAAGAGUAUUUAUGAAAAUAACUAUUUUCAUCAAUCAAGGUCUGGGGCUAAUUCUAGAAAGAUGAUAUGAUUCUAUAGGUGGAAUUCUUGCCUCCCACACCCUUGAACCACCCUCUCUUGUCUGGGUUCCCCUAUCAGCUGGCCUGAAUGAGGACCUGGUAAGAGGGAAUUACAGGAAGCAGAUGUGGUGCCCAACUUAUGAAAAAGAACAUAAAGUAACAAAUAAAAAUUAUGUAUAAAUGUGCGGACUUAUUUAUUUAGUCUUUUGUCCUUUUGGGUAUGUACCAGCAGCAUAUGGAGGUUCCCAGGCUAGGGGUCGAAUUGGAACUACAGCUGCAGGCCUACACCACAGCCACGGCAAUGCCAGAUCCAGAUCCAAGCCCCAUCUGCAACCUAUACCACAGAUGCAGCUCGGAUCCCGCGUUGCUGUGGCUCUGGCGUAGGCUGGCGGCUACAGCUCCGAUUGGACCCCUAGCCUGGGAACCUCCAUAUGCCGCGGGAGCGGCCCAAGAAAGAGCAACAACAACAACAACAACAAAGACAAAAGACAAAAUAAUAAUAAUAAUAAUAAUAAUUUCCUUAAAUCGGCCCGCAAAUUUACAACAGUGA